rnacentral:rRNA from 1 species
AUUGAACGCUGGCGGCAGGCCUAACACAUGCAAGUCGAGCGGUAGCACAGAGAGCUUGCUCUCGGGUGACGAGCGGCGGACGGGUGAGUAAUGUCUGGGAAACUGCCUGAUGGAGGGGGAUAACUACUGGAAACGGUAGCUAAUACCGCAUAACGUCGCAAGACCAAAGUGGGGGACCUUCGGGCCUCAUGCCAUCAGAUGUGCCCAGAUGGGAUUAGCUAGUAGGUGGGGUAACGGCUCGCCUAGGCGACGAUCCCUAGCUGGUCUGAGAGGAUGACCAGCCACACUGGAACUGAGACACGGUCCAGACUCCUACGGGAGGCAGCAGUGGGGAAUAUUGCACAAUGGGCGCGAGCCUGAUGCAGCCAUGCCGCGUGUGUGAAGAAGGCCUUCGGGUUGUAAAGCACUUUCAGCGGGGAGGAAGGCGUUAAGGUUAAUAACCUUGGCGAUUGACGUUACCCGCAGAAGAAGCACCGGCUAACUCCGUGCCAGCCGCCGCCGUAA